AACGCGAAGAACCUUACCUGGCCUUGACAUCCUAGGAAUCCCGAAGAGAUUUGGGAGUGCCGCAAGGAGCCUAGAGACAGGUGCUGCAUGGCUGUCGUCAGCUCGUGUCGUGAGAUGUUGGGUUAAGUCCCGCAACGAGCGCAACCCUCGUCCUAUGUUGCCAGCGGGUAAUGCCGGGGACUCAUAGGAGACUGCCGGGGUCAACUCGGAGGAAGGUGGGGAUGACGUCAAGUCCUCAUGCCCCUUAUGUCUUGGGCUGCAAACAUGCUACAAUGGCCGGUACAAAGGGUUGCGAGACCGCAAGGUGGAGCGAAUCCCAAAAAGCCGGUCUCAGUUCGGAUUGGGGUCUGCAACUCGACCCCAUGAAGUCGGAGUCGCUAGUAAUCGCGAAUCAGCAACGUCGCGGUGAAUACGUUCCCGGGCCUUGUACACACCGAGACGAC
rnacentral:rRNA from 1 species